AUUGAACGCUGGCGGAAUGCUUUACACAUGCAAGUCGAACGGCAGCACGGGGGCAACCCUGGUGGCGAGUGGCGAACGGGUGAGUAAUACAUCGGAACGUGCCCAGUCGUGGGGGAUAACGUAGCGAAAGUUACGCUAAUACCGCAUACGAUCUACGGAUGAAAGCGGGGACCGUAAGGCCUCGCGCGAUUGGAGCGGCCGAUGUCAGAUUAGGUAGUUGGGGAGGUAAAGGCUCACCAAGCCGACGAUCUGUAGCUGGUCUGAGAGGACGACCAGCCACACUGGGACUGAGACACGGCCCAGACUCCUACGGGAGGCAGCAGUGGGGAAUUUUGGACAAUGGGCGCAAGCCUGAUCCAGCCAUUCCGCGUGCAGGACGAAGGCCUUCGGGUUGUAAACUGCUUUUGUACGGAACGAAAAGGCUCUGGUUAAUACCUGGGGCUCAUGACGGUACCGUAAGAAUAAGCACCGGCUAACUACGUGCCAGCAGCCGCAGUAA
rnacentral:rRNA from 1 species